GCCUUUCCUGUCCCGGCCUGCGUGGUGUGGGCUUGUGGGUCUUUGAGACCUGAAAAUUGAGAGCGUUUUCGCACCCCAGGGGCUGCUUCUGGCGGUUCUGCGGCCAUCACCAUGCCACAGACCAAACAUAUUGAAUUACACCAUAAAAGCUAUGGAUACCAUUUGGAUUACCAUGAGAAAAAGAGAAAGAAGGAAAGUCGAGAGGCUCAUGAAUGUUCAAAGAAGGCAAAGAAAAUGACUGGUCUGAAGGCUAAGCUUUACCAUAAACAGUACCAUGCUGAAAAAAUACAAAUGAAAAAGACUAUCAAGAUGCAUGAAAAGAGAAACACCAAACAAAAGAAUGAUGAAAAGACUCCACAGGGAGCAGUACCUGCCUAUCUGCUGGACAGAGAGGGACAAUCUCGAGCUAAAGUACUUUCCAGUAUGAUUAAACAGAAACGAAAAGAGAAGGCGGGAAAUUGGGAAGUCCCUCUGCCUAAAGUACGUGCCCAGGGAAAAACAGAAGUAUUAAAAGUUAUUCGAACAGGAAAGAGAAAGAAGAAAGCAUGGAAGAGGAUGGUUACUAAAGUGUGCUUUGUUGGAGAUGGCUUUACAAGAAAACCACCUAAAUAUGAAAGAUUUAUCAGGCCAAUGGGCUUGCAUUUCAAGAAAGCCCAUGUAACACAUCCUGAACUGAAAGCCACCUUUUGCCUACCAAUAUUUGGUGUAAAGAAGAAUCCCUCAUCCCCACUGUAUACAACUUUGGGUGUUAUUACCAAAGGUACUGUCACCGAGGUAAAUGUGAGCAAAUUGGGCCUUGUGACACAAGGAGGCAAAGUUAUUUGGGAAAAAUAUGCCCAGGUUACCAACAAUCCUGAAAAUGAUGGAUGUAUAAAUGCAGUCUUACUGGUUUGACAGCAAUUUCAUAUAUAAUUAUCCAGGACUACACACCAACUGAAAAAACUGCCAUUACUGUGAUGUUUCUGAAUACUACCAAACAGCCAUACAUGUCUGCAAUGAAGAGAUUUAUUAAAUUGUAAACAUUAAAAUG